rnacentral:lncRNA from 1 species
GAGCAACGAUUAGCGGCAACAACAGGCGAUUUCUGCACAGUCAUACAUAGCGGUUUGAUAGGCACGGCAGAGAAGAUACAUAGAAGAGACAGCACAAGAGCAGAAAGAGUGUGAUAAGAGUGUGCGAGAGAGGAAUGCGAUGAUGCAAUCGGUAUUUAAUUAACAAGCAAAGUUCUUCUUUGGCCCUCCCGCCUUUUGUGGCAGGUUCUCUUGACCAGAAAGCCAACGACAGAGAGAUGAACAUAAAUUUGAAAUUUAUGACUGCCACUUGAGAGCACACACACAUGGGCCGGACUGUACGGGCCGUACACCUUGACAGGGCCCAUAGAUUUAUGGAGAGGCCCCGACACAUCAACAGCUCUUUUC